rnacentral:rRNA from 1 species
UACAGAGGGUGCAAGCGUUGUUCGGAAUUAUUGGGCGUAAAGCGCGUGUAGGCGGCUUUGCAAGUCGGGUGUGAAAGCCCUCAGCUCAACUGAGGAAGUGCGCCCGAAACUGCGGAGCUUGAGUGCCGGAGAGGGUGGCGGAAUUCCCCAAGUAGAGGUGAAAUUCGUAGAUAUGGGGAGGAACACCGGUGGCGAAGGCGGCCACCUGGACGGUAAAGCUGACGCCUGAGACGCGAAAGCGUGGGUAGCAAACAGGAUU